GCGCCCGUAGCUCAGCUGGAUAGAGCAGCGGUUUCCUAAACCGCAGGCCAGAGGUUCGAAUCCUCUCGGGCGUACAA
rnacentral:tRNA from 1 species